AGAAUAUGAACUAGAAGCCUCUGUUAUAAGGGCAUUUUUUCACUCUGAUGUAUUUUGUCCUCUAAUAGGGUGUGGCGGUCUAGGCCUUCUACAGUUCUGAUGAUAGGGACAUUUAUGGCUGCGAGAUUAAUAUCUGAGAACAAGACAGAAGUUGUGCUGAUCUCCGGGGAGCGUCAUUACAACAGAUUUCAAUGCUUGGCACCCUAACAGACCAUCCAUACGCCAUGGCACAGUUGCAAGAGUCCACAACGUAGCACCUGGCGUCUGUCACAGGAGAGUUGGUUGAGUCGUACCACCACAGGAUGGAUACUGGCUACGCACAAAUGGCAGCCAAGAGCCAAUUGCUGCAUCAUCUCAAUGAGGAUGAUCCCGAUCGUCGUGAUGAAUUUGCGAAACCCGGUGUCACAGCAAUUGCAACAGGACCCACAUUUGUAAGAAGUGCUAUAGUAAAAUAAAAGCUGUGCUAUGACUGGUUGAUAUGGGCAAAAA